rnacentral:snRNA from 1 species
AGCUUUGCACAGUGACAGUAUCGUAGCCAAUGAGGUUUAUGUGAGGCGCAAUUAUUGCUAAUUGAAAACUUAAACAUGUAAAAAACGGGAUUAACUUAUUUAUUUAAAAUAUAUUUCGGAUAU